rnacentral:lncRNA from 10 species
CCCAAAGUGCUGGUAUUACAGGUGUCAGCCACCGCGCCUGACCAACAGUAAAAAAGGAUGAGGUGAACUGCCUUGGUCAGACUCUGAGAAAUACUCACAGUUCCUCCUUCCUCCUGGCCAAGUCCUUGAAGAAUCAAAGCAGCAAAUAAACAAGGUGGAACAAGAGUGAAAAUGAGAAUGCAUUUAUCUUCUCCACUGAACGACCCCAAGUCCUGUGUCAGGGCUGAGAUAACCGUGUAUAAUAUUGGUAUUAU